rnacentral:rRNA from 1 species
AUUGAACGCUGGCGGCAGGCCUAACACAUGCAAGUCGAGCGGAUGAAGGGAGCUUGCUCCUGGAUUCAGCGGCGGACGGGUGAGUAAUGCCUAGGAAUCUGCCUGGUAGUGGGGGAUAACGUCCGGAAACGGGCGCUAAUACCGCAUACGUCCUGAGGGGGAAAGUGGGGGAUCUUCGGACCUCACGCUAUCAGAUGAGCCUAGGUCGGAUUAGCUAGUUGGUGGGGUAAAGGCCUACCAAGGCGACGAUCCGUAACUGGUCUGAGAGGAUGAUCAGUCAACACUGAACUGGGAAAACGUCCAGGACUCUACGGGAGGCAGGAGUGGGGAAUAUUGGACCAUGGGCGGAAGCCCUAUCCAGGCAUGCCGCGUGUGUGAAGAAGGUCUUCGGAUUGUAAAGCACUUUAAGUUGGGAGGAAGGGCAGUAAGUUAAUACCUUGCUGUUUUGACGUUACCAACAGAAUAAGCACCGCUAACUUCGUG